rnacentral:lncRNA from 1 species
UAACAUGUAGAUGCCACUGUGACCAUCCUCCGGACCAAACUUAGGAAUUAUAGUCUUCUUCUCCCCCAAGAGCUCUCUGAUGCCACACUCUGCUCCCCUUUUGUUCUCUGGACUCCUCAAAUCAGUCAUUUGGACCCCCUGAAAUGUAGUAUUUCCCCCAGGAUUCUGUGGAUGGAGAGAUGAAUGAUGCUUGAUACCUACCUCCUGCCAUGACGAUGGACCUGUGUGCUCCAAGAGACAGUUCUUAACCAGCCUGACCUUCAAAGCAUACAAGCCAUGGUUCUCAUCUCCUACCCUGGCCCCCAGUGCCUGGCAGAGUGCCUGAAUAGGAGCAAUUUAUUUGACCUGCAUUUGAUGACUGAAAGUCAAGUUCAUCUCCCUUCUGGCCUGAAUGCAGACAAGGAAAUAUCUUAAUUCUUGAGUACCAGCCUCUUGGGACUCUUCUACCUCUGCAGAUUUUUGGGCCCUAGUGCUGAUAUGCAGUGGAGUCAACCUUCAGGCAAUUACAGUAUCCACUUCUAAUGCAUGGACGUUAGAACGAAGUCAUAAUGUCCCUAAUCUAAGGUCUGCCCCUGCACUGAAUGAUCUGGAUCAUGGAGGAAUCUGUCUUCACUGACAGAGGAGUUUAAGACUUUCUGAAACAGAGCCCAAGUCCUGGCCUCAGAUGACCAUCUCUCCUGUGAAAUGUCCCUGUUAUGUCUCCCCGGGUGCUGAAGCACGCCAUGUUCCAGAGGCAGCUGUCCAAGGGCUGCUGCGCUCAACUACUGCUGUCUGUCAAAAGCUUCCCUGGCUGUGCUUUCUUCCCAGAUGUUUGUCAAAAGGCUUGCCAUUCCAAGUUCAGAAGCAAGAUUAGGGGCUUUCGGGCUCUGAUUAAAGGAAUUAACUGAGCUCCAGAAGUAACUUCCUUGGGGGCCACACAUAGAUAAUCACAUGGAAGAUGAUUCUGGCAUCACUGCAUGUGUCUUCUUCUACCUUUGGGGGGUCUUUAAUAUGGAAGGGGGUCAAUUAUUGCUAUGGGAAAUAAGCAGAAAGUAGAGCAGAAAAACAAAGCAGGAUGUGCACACACAAACACACACACACACACACACACACACACACAUUAAUA